UACGGAGGUUGCAAGCGUUGUUCGGAUUUACUGGGCGUAAAGGGAGCGCAGGCGGUCGACUCAGUCUAAAGUGAAAGUCCGGGGCUCAACCCCGGAAGUGCUUUGGAUACUGGUUGACUUGAGUAUGUGAGAGGAGAGCGGAAUUCCAGGUGUAGCGGUGAAAUGCGUAGAUAUCUGGAGGAACACCGGUGGCGAAAGCGGCUCUCUGGCACAAAACUGACGCUGAGGCUCGAAAGCAUGGGGAGCGAAC
rnacentral:rRNA from 1 species